rnacentral:rRNA from 1 species
CACGACUCUCGGCAACGGAUAUCUCGGCUCUCGCAUCGAUGAAGAACGUAGCGAAAUGCGAUACCUGGUGUGAAUUGCAGAAUCCCGCGAACCAUCGAGUCUUUGAACGCAAGUUGCGCCCGAGGCCACUUGGCCGAGGGCACGCCUGCCUGGGAGUCACGCC